AUGGCAAACCUAAGAAGACCAAAAGACAAAGACAGCAUGUUCAACGUUAAUGGUGGUCGUUGCAAGAAACAUCCCAAACAUGUACAAUCACCUGGCUCUUCUUGUUCUUCUCCAAUGCAUGAUAGAUCUAGUUUCUCUACUAUCUUGCUCUUUAACAAACAUGGUGGUGGACUUGUGAAGAGUAAGUCAAUGGCUGCUGUUGUUCCAAGAAGGAGAAACAAAGAUGCUAGGAAUCAAUAUAGUAAGAAAAAUGGGUUUUGGUUUAACUUGUUUCAUCCUAAUUAUAAGAACAAGAGAAUGGUGACUCUAGCUAGCUAA